AGCCAUGUGAUUUAAGGUACCUAUUUAGCUAAUUCACGGGGCUUCGGACUCGGCGGCCAGUGCUGGACGAAACCCCAGGCUUCAUGGAGGUCAGUGGGAGGAGGCAAAAAACAGACAUAUAAACAUAUGACAGUUUUCUCCAGCGAAACGUGCGUGCAAGGGGUGUGUGCACUUCCAGAGAAGGAUGUGGGGAGACGUGCUGCCGUCUCCCGAAGCUGUCUGAAAAUUCCUGCGGAAUGCCCAGCCUCAGGCUGACGGCGCUCCUGACACCGAGCAGUUUCUGUAGCUGGUCCUAUAGGCCACCAAACCGGUCGAGGUGCCCCGGCAGCGGGGCACGGUGGCGUGCACGCUGCUCGCUGGGCCGGAGGCCCUGCGCGCCUCACUCCCCACCCCCCACUCCGCCGCCUCUGCGGGAGCUCGCUGGCCAAUCGGAGCUCGCGGUGCUCGCGCUCCAUGCGGUCAGGGCUUCCAUGGCGGAACGUGCGGGUCCCGCGAGGCUCACCGCGGGUCCGGAGGCGCCCACCGGGCCACUGCACGUCACCAGGCACAGGCAAAAGUAGCACAAAGUCCCGGGAGGAGCCCCGGUGGCUGCGGGGACCCUGAGCCUGACAUCCCACAGCGAGGAAGGGCCCGCCGGGCAGCCGGUGAAAUAGCGAGUCUGGACUGCGGCUACCCUGGCCGGGCUUGGCAAGGGGGGCAGUCCUCCGUUCGCGAGGAACUUCAUCCCUCAUUGUCUGAAGCAGUCUCUGGUUGGGAAGGUGUCCUUCCUCAGAGGUUCCCUAUAAGCCUGGGCCAUGUCCCCCCAAGGUUUAGCUGAGCCCAGGGGGGCACCGGGCUGCUGCCAAUGUCCCAGGUGUCUGGCCUACCACUGGGGACACUUUCCUGAGCUGAGCACACUGACCGCUGGUCUCUGGGUCUCUCCCAGGUACUCCCAGGGUAAGUGUCCCUGGAAAUCAGCACACCCCGCUGCACGGUUGGUUUCCUGCGGGGAAGGGGGCCUCCUUGCAUGGGCCUUGGCUGCUCCAAGUAGACCUAUGCCCUCCCUCCAUGUGGCUGGUGGCUGCCACCACUCCUUUCGAGGGCGGCAUUGCUGUCCUUGGGCAGGCUCUGUUGCCUGUGAAACUCUCCCGUGUCAUUGUUUAGGGUCUUCUGUCCUUUACAGCCAGUGCCCACCCUGCAAUGAGCCCUAGACAAGGUAUCGGUUGACACUCCACCCCAGGCAUGUGGCAUCACUGUGAGUUGGCAACCCAGGCACAUGCCCAAACUUUCGACUCAACCCACUGAGCUACGCUAGCUGGGCUCUUCCUGUUGACUGACACCCUCCUGCUCUAGGAAGGCAGGGACCACUUGGCUGAGUGCCUGCUCCACAGUCUCCCCAUGGUGGCCCACAGGGUAAAAAUGCCCCGUCCCACUCACACCUGACCACACCUGGGUUGGAGGCUUGAGUGCGGGUAGGGGGUGACUGGAGAAAACAGUUACACAACGAAGUUGACGUGCUAAGUUUGUGGCCGGAGAGAGGGCAGCAGCUCAGACACCUGUGGAGGAAGCGCCUGAGGCCCCAGGAGGUGCGAGGGGUCAUCAGGCUGCGCCGUCCACCGGGUGCUACACCACUGCCUGGACCGAACAGAGCUGCGACCGGCACUCCGACCAGCAACGGGGUCUGUUAUCCUCAGCCACGUGCUCUGAAACAGGAGACUCACGUGGCCAUCCGUGGUCAGUGCGGGAUCAUUUUUCCGCAUCUGAGGCCUCCAGCAGCAGCUUCAACACACCGAGGACUCACCUCGUUUCGAUCUGACUGGCACAGAGUCACGGCUCUUCCUGAUGCUGGGGGCCACCUGUGGUGAUGAGGCUGCAGCUACCUGUGACACUGCCCCGGUGGCUGAACCAAAUCAGGCUGUUCAUUGUUUGCAAACAGCUUUAGGGAUUAGAAUUCUCAUACCACACACUGCACCCACUUAAAGUAGACAAUUCGCCAUUUUAUAGUGUAUGUACCACAACCAAGCUCAGAACAUUUCCAUCCUCCAGAAGAAGCCGCCUACCCUUUAACAGUGCUCCACAACCCGUCUGCAGCCCCCGGUGACCACUACCCCCUUUCUCCCUAUGGAGCUGUCUGUCCUGGACAUUUCAUACACACGGCAUCAUGCUCUCAGUGGCUUCCAUCACUCGGCAUGUUUUCAAGUUACAUCCACAAAGUAGCGUGUAGUAUGCAUGUAUCAGUACGCUUAAUUUCUCUCCACUACCAAACAAUAUUCCACUGUAAAUUCUCAUGUACCCAUUAUAUGGAUAUCUCAUGUUCUGUUCAUCCAUUCAUGAGGGAUGGACAAUUUUUCCCCACUUUGGCUAUCAUGAAUGGUGCUGCUAUGAACAUUCAUGAAAAACUUUAGUGUAGACACAAGUUUUCAAAGCGCCUGCUUCCUUUGACGUCCCCACUGGUGGCGUAUGGGGCUCCAGUUUCUCCACACCCACACCAAUCCUUAGUUAGCAUUGUCUCUAUUUCCGAUUGCAGCCUUCCUGGUAGCUAUGAAGUGGUAUCUCCCUGUGGUCCUGAUUUUCGCUUGCCUGAUGACGAAGGAUGUUGAGCACCUUUUCCUGUGCUUAUUAGCCACUUGUAUGUCUUUACUAGGGAAACGUUUGUUCAAUCCUUUGCCCAUUUUUAAUUGGUUUGUUCUUUAUCGUGGAGUUCAAAGUGUAAUUUAUAUAUUCCAGGCACAAGAGCCUUAUCAGAUAUAUGAUUUGCAGAAAUUUUCUCUCAUUGUGUAGGUUGUCUUCACUUUCUUUUCUUUAAGUCUUGUUGUAUUUUCGUCCAUUACCACUUAUCACCCUUAGAGCCUCUCUCCGCCACGCACUGGCCUUCUCCCCACACUCACGCUUCACUCUCCUCAUUUUGUCCUUUGAAACACAGAAGUUUUUAACUUUGGUGAAGUCCAAUUUAUACAUUUUUGCUUUGUCACAUGUGUUUGUCCCUACGUUACUUCAGAGAGGACAGCAGCCAUCCGACCUCAACACCAGCCCUGGGGUGCUGGAAAAAAACUUCCUUUACAUCGGGGCCGCCUCCCUUUGGCUGCCUGUCCCACUAACACAGAGGCCCCUUUAGUAAGGGUUGUUGGUAACGGCUCUUUCUGCAUGAAAAUGUCUUUAGUCUAUCCUCAGCUUCAUCAUGAGUUUUGCUGAACAUUAAAUUCUGGUUUGAACUUCA